rnacentral:rRNA from 1 species
UUUGGAAUAUUGCACAAUGGGCGAAAGCCUGAUGCAGCGACGCCGCGUGAGGGAAGAAGGUUUUCGGAUUGUAAACUUCUUUGAUCAGGGACGAAACAAAUGACGGUACCUGAAGAACAAGCCACGGCUAACUACGUGCCAGCAGCCGCGGUAAUACGUAGGUGGCGAGCGUUAUCCGGAUUUACUGGGUGUAAAGGGCGUGUAGGCGGGUUUGCAAGUCGGAUGUGAAAUUCCCGGGCUUAACUCGGGCGGGUCAUCCGAAACUGCAGAUCUUGAGUACUGGAGAGGAUAGUGGAAUUCCUAGUGUAGCGGUAAAAUGCGUAGAUAUUAGGAGGAACACCAGUGGCGAAGGCGGCUAUCUGGACAGUAACUGACGCUGAGGCGCGAAAGCGUGGGGAGCAAACA